CGCCGCUUCGGUGUGGUGACACAGACGGGGGCGCUGGUGCCGUUCUGGCGGCGAGGGAUUGCCUUGGAUGAGGUGCGGACCCUCGACGCGGUGG
rnacentral:tRNA from 1 species